GAACAUCUUGUUCUGCCAGAAGUGAUGCUUAGAAAUAUGAGAGGCGCAUGUGAGAAAGACCCAGGUGUGAACUUGAAGAGGCUCUUACUGGCCAAACCAGGGAAAAUUUGAGCACCAAAAUACAGUAAUGAAUUAGAAAACACUGGAAAAAGUAGAAAUCUAUGAGUCUAUACCAAUAAAUAAGUGGGGAGAAAGGGAAGGUUCUUGUUUAUAGUACCAUGAGUAUUGACUGGUAAACAAGAAAGGAACUCUAGAGUUGGAAAAUCCCCGUUUUGCAGCCAUCGUAGUAAAGACCGAUGCGGGCCAAAAUUACCCUUAGAUGCUAAACAUAGAGGGAAACUUUGAUGAUGAACAAAUUACUUGCAUGGUCUUAAAGUGUUUCCCCAAAGAGUGCUUACUAGUUGCAAGGUAGGAAAUAGUAACUCUAGAUAGAGUGGGGAUAUUGGACAGCACCUGAAGUGAGGGAUCACAGUUUACAUCAAGAAUGAGAGGCCAGUGACCAUCACAUGCCUCCAAAUAGGACACCCUCUGAGAAGAACACAUCAGUAUGUAGUUUUCCAUCCAAAAAACGUAACCUGAAUUUAACCAUGGGGAAAUAUCAGACAAACUCAGAAUAAGGAGCAAUCUUAGGGACUUCCCUUGUGGUUUAGUGGUUAAGACUGUGCUUCCACUGCAGGGGGCACAAGUUCCAUCCCUGUUUGGGGAACUAAGAUCCCACAUGCCACAGAGCAAAAAAAAGAAACAAAAGAAUUUAAGGAGCUCAGAGAGCUGUUUUUCUCUGCCAGGUGAGCACAAAUGCACUUCUAGAUUGGGCUUCAGCAUGUGCUGUUAGGCCAGUAUAGCAACAUAUUUUUCUCACAUGAGGCCCUCUGUGAGCUGACUCCUGCCUGCUUCCCAGAACCCUUUGCCUUCACACGUUUGCUUUCACAUGAUUCGCUCUAUCUCUUGGGCCCUCCUUUCCUCAACGUGGUCCCUCUCCCCCAGCAUCCCGUAAGGCUCGAUCUGUGCCACAUGUCCUGGAAAGCCUUUCCUGAAACCCACCUUCCCCUGCUUGUGCUAGUUACAUGUCCCUCCCAUGUAUCCCUGGUAACACUGAUUCUGACCCAUGUUGCAGCAUUCACAGUGGUC
ensembl:lncRNA